rnacentral:rRNA from 1 species
GACGUAGGGCGCGAGCGUUGUCCGGAUUAUUGGGCGUAAAGAGCUCGUAGGCGGUCUGUCGCGUCGAACUGUGAAUCCCGCGGCUCAACUGCGGGUCUGCAGUCGAUACGGGCAGGCUAGAGUUCGGUAGGGGAGACUGGAAUUCCUGGUGUAGCGGUGAAAUGCGCAGAUAUCAGGAGGAACACCGGUGGCGAAGGCGGAUCUUUGGGCCAUUACUGACGCUGAGGAGCGAAAGCGUGGGGAGCGAACAGG